rnacentral:lncRNA from 1 species
AUCGAUCCACAGGGAUUGGGGUAUAGUUGUUUUCUUUAAAAAUAAAAAUAUUUAAAAAGAAGAGUUUGUGAAGAAAAUUAAACUAAGAAAUUUAAUAGAGAAAAUGCAAUUAAAAUAAUAUUAAUUUGGGAGAACCUAGGGCAAGGAAUUCACCACUAACAUCGGAUCAAGGAUUAAUUAUAUUUUAAUUUAUUCUUGGAUAAACAUGCAAAUUGGCUACAAGCCUAAUAAGCAUUUGAAUAGAAAUUUACAAAAGUAAUUUAGGCAUAAUCCAUCUUUAGUUUAGCAUGAAAU